UUUUUAUUGUACUUAUUGGCUCCCAGCAGCACUAUAUAUAUAUAUAUAUAUAUAUAUAUAUAUAUAUAUAUAUAGUGCUGCUGGGAGCCAAUAAGUACAAUAAAAAUU